rnacentral:rRNA from 1 species
CCUACGGGGGGCAGCAGUGAGGAAUAUUGGUCAAUGGACGAGAGUCUGAACCAGCCAAGUAGCGUGAAGGAUGACUGCCCUAUGGGUUGUAAACUUCUUUUAUAAAGGAAUAAAACGAGGCACGUGUGCCUUUUUGCAUGUACUUUAUGAAUAAGGAUCGGCUAACUCCGUGCCAGCAGCCGCGGUAAUACGGAGGAUCCGAGCGUUAUCCGGAUUUAUUGGGUUUAAAGGGAGCGUAGAUGGGUUGUUAAGUCAGUUGCGAAAGUUUGCGGCUCAACCGUAAAAUUGCAAUUGAUACUGGCAGUCUUGAGUACAGUUGAGGUAGGCGGAAUUCGUGGUGUAGCGGUGAAAUGCUUAGAUAUCACGAAGAACCCCGAUUGCGAGGGCAGCUUACUAAACUGUGACUGACAUUGAUGCUCGAAAGUGUGGGUAUCAAACAGGAUUAGAUACCCGUGUAGUC